GGAGUCUGGACCGUGUCUCAGUUCCAGUGUGGCCGUUCACCCUCUUAGGUCGGCUACGCAUCCUCGCCUUGGUGGGCUAUUAUCUCACCAACUAGCUAAUGCGUCGCAUGCCCAUCCCGGACCGACGGAUCUUUCACCCUAAGGACAUGCGUCCUCGGGGCAUAUGGGGUAUUAGACCCAGUUUCCCGGGUUUAUCCCCCUGUCCGGGGCAGGUCGCAUACGUGUUACUCACCAGUGCGCCGGUCGCCGCCAGAGGUAUUGCUACCCCCGCGCUGCCCCUCGACUUGCAUGUGUUAAGCCUGUCGCUAGCGUUCAUCCUGAGCCAGGAUAAAACUCU
rnacentral:rRNA from 1 species